rnacentral:tRNA from 2 species
UCUCCUGUGGCGUAGUUGGUAGCGCAUCAUGCUUAUGGCCCGCCUUUUGACGGAACGUGAUGGUCGCGGGUUCGAUCCCCGCCAGGAGAA